UAGCCACGGUAAUACCAGCUCUCCGAGUGGUAGGGACGAUUAUUGGGCUUAAAGCGUCCGUAGCCGGCUCAGCAAGUUUCCCCGUUAAAUCCAACGAUUCAAUCGUUGGACUGCGGGAGAUACUGUUGAGCUAGGAGGCGGGAGAGGCCGACGGUAUUCCCGGAGUAGGGUGAAAUCUUAUAAUUCCGGGAGGACCACCAGUGGCGAAGGC
rnacentral:rRNA from 1 species